GCUGUGUGAAGGUUUGUCACGUCUCCCUGCGCUCCACAAGAAACCCGGCCCAGCAGAGACCACUGGUGCAGACUGCCGGCCUGGGAGCUGUGAUGGACGGAGCUUGUUAGGUUUGCUGCCCCGAGGGAAAGGAAGGCAGAAUAUGUAGCUGGGCAAGGCGUGCACACCAGGAACACUCCAGUGGUGUUUGUCAAGCCUUGUAUUGGUGGCCAGUGGCCGGGUUUGCCCGUGACCCGCGCACCCAUUUCCUGGACCAGCGGGGUGAACACCACUUCCGGGAGCCCCAGGGACCCCCUCCCCCGCGGGGCGACGCACGGGACUCAAGUGAUGGUGAUGACACUGACAACAAGGAGCAUGUCCUCCUAGAGUGACCUCAAGCUGGUACUGGCCACAGAGAUCACUUUGUCGCACUCCACUUUGGACCGCUGCUGAAGGCUGGCUGACAGCUGGACUGUCCCGCCACUGUGUGCAGGCCAGUGGGACAGGCGGCCUGCUGGGGAGCACAUGUGUCCCCUCCUGCCCUGCAGACACAGACACAGCCGCUGGACCUCAGCACCCAGGAGGGAGGACACAGCCGCUGCCUCCCCCGCCAAGCGCCGCACGGCCACGCUCAGCGCCUGGAAGAAGAAGCAACAGUGACGCCAAGAUGAAGGCCGUUCCCACUCCCUCGGCAAGCCUGAGUGUCUCUGAGCAGAGGAACUAAAAACGUCUUGAUAAUUCUCUGGAACAAGUUAUUUCUGUAGAGCAUUCUGUCCCUCAGGUGUACGCUGGACUCCAAUAAACAUCCGGUUGGGGAAA